UUUUUUUUUUUUUUUUCUUUCUUUGUAGUUCUGAAUAACAGCACCAGAUUCUGUUCUGGUGUCCCUGGAACACCUGGACAUUUUCUUAAGAUUUCUCCUACAUCUGCCCUGAAGCAAAUGCAAGAAGAACUGAGGAAUCUCAGCCUCUUCUCCAGUGCUGGCAGAAGUUGCCUCUUGUCAUUGCAGAUCUGGUAAGAGAUUGGUCAGCCUGGACGCCUGCAAGGCUCUGCCCAGCCCUUUACCUCAUCUCUGACAGCAGCCACUGGAGCAGGACAAAAUACUUACACGGGGGUGCACUACGGAUGUGGUACCAUACAGAAAGACCUCACCAUUUCCAUGCAGGAAUAAAAGAACCAGGUACACCUUUCUAGUUUUGAUGCAGGAUUUGGUUUUUAGCACCUGGAUAACAUUACUGACCUCCAGAGCAUUGCUGUAGACUGUGAAGUAGUACCAAAUAAAAUACAAAGUUCUACAUUUACUUUCUCCUGAAGAUUUUUCUGUCAAACUGGGUCAACUUCUAAGUAAAGCAAGAGAGCAUUUUAAUCUGUCAGCACUUCAAAACCAGUCUGGUACUUGAAAAUUACUUCUGGGCUUAAAAAUCCUAUGGACUCUGAAUUUGGAAGGCAGUAUUGUUGGUACAUAAGAUCUAAUGGUAUUUAAUUCAAAACCUGAUCUUUCCUGGUCUUAGCUGACCAUUAUUUUAGCAAAUGUUUGCUUUGAUGGGGUUUGGGGGUGAUAUGAGCAAAUGAAAGCUCCAUGAAGAUAUUUUUGCUAACACUGAAAAUGAAAAACUAAACCAACAUCCCCCCAGUUUUUUAAUCAGUAGUGUUUACUACCUUUAAAAAAAUACACUCUAUUAUAGAUGUGGAAGCAGAUCAUAAAACUGCUCUGCCCAGAUCUGCAGGGGAAUCAAACAGAUGGCAGAUCCCACUGCAAUUUGGAUGAAGAUUUCAUAGCUAG